UACGAAGGGGGGCUAGCGUUGUUCGGAAUUACUGGGCGUAAAGCGCACGUAGGCGGACAUUUAAGUCAGGGGGUGAAAUCCCAGAGCUCAACUCUGGAACUGCCUUUGAUACUGGGUGUCUUGAGUAUGGAAGAGGUGAGUGGAAUUCCGAGUGUAGAGGUGAAAUUCGUAGAUAUUCGGAGGAACACCAGUGGCGAAGGCGGCUCACUG
rnacentral:rRNA from 1 species